AGAGGUAGAGUUCAGUGGUAGAGUGUGUGCUUAGCAUGUACAAGAUCCUGGGUUCAAUCCCCAGUACUUCUA
rnacentral:tRNA from 1 species